rnacentral:rRNA from 1 species
CUAACCGCAUAGGGGAGCCGUAGGGAAACCGAGUCCGAACAGGGCGCUUCAGUCGCUGGGAAUAGACCCGAAGCCGGUCGAUCUAUCCAUGUCCAGGGUGAAGGUGAGGUAAUACUCACUGGAGGCCCGAACGAACCACUGUUGCAAUAGUGAGUCGAUGAGGUGUGGAUAGGAGUGAAAGGCUAAUCAAGGCCGGCGAUAGCUGGUUCUCCCCGAAAGCUAUUUAGGUAGUGCCUCAUCGAGCACUCCUGGGGGUAGAGCACUGUUUAGGCUAGCGGGCCAUCCCGGCUUAGCAAACCUAUGCAAACUCCGAAUACCAGGAAGUGAACCGGUGGGAGACACACGGCGGGUGCUAACGUCCGUCGUGGAAAGGGAAAUAACCCAGACCGCCAGCUAAGGCCCCAAUUCAUGGCUAAGUGGUGAACGAUGUGGGAAGGCACAGACAGCCAGGAGGUUGGCUUAGAAGCAGCCAUCCUUUAAAGAAAGCGUAAUAGCUCACUGGUCUAGUCGGCCCGCGCGGAAGAUUUAACGGGGCUCAAGCCAUGAGCCGAAGCUGCGGAUCUGCACGCAAGUGCAGGUGGUAGGGGAGCGUUCUGUACGCCUGCGAAGGUGCACUGCGAGGUGUGCUGGAGGUAUCAGAAGUGCGAAUGCUGACAUGAGUAACGUUAAUGCGGGUGAAAAACCCGCACGCCGAAAACCCAAGGUUUCCUGCUCAACGUUAAUCGGAGCAGGGUGAGCCGGUUCCUAAGACGAGACCGAAAGGUGUAGCCGAUGGAAAACAGGUCAACAUUCCUGUGCCCGGUGUGACUGCGAUGGGGUGACGGAGAAGGCUAGUUCAGCAGGGGUUGGUUCCCUGUUUAAGCAUGUAGGAGGAGUUGCUAGGCAAAUCCGGCGGCUCUUAACUCCGAGGUGUGAUGACGAGGUCCCACGCGGACCGAAGUGAAUAACGCCCGCUUCCAGGAAAAGCCUCUAAGCUUCAGAUCACAUUGGACCGUACCGCAAACCGACACUGGUGGGCGAGCAGAUAAUCUGCCAAGGCGCUUGAGAGAACUCGGGUUAAGGAACUCUGCAAAUUGAUACCGUAACUUCGGAAGAAGGUAUGCCUUCGACGGUGUAGGGACUUGCUCCCGAAGCUGUUGAAGGUCGCAGGUAAUCGGUGGCUGCGACUGUUUAUCAAAAACACAGGACUCUGCGAACACGUAAGUGGAUGUAUAGGGUCUGACGCCUGCCCGGUGCCGGAAGGUUAAUUGAUGGGGUCAGCCGCAAGGCGAAGCUCUUGAUCGAAGCCCCGGUAAACGGCGGCCGUAACUAUAACGGUCCUAAGGUAGCGAAAUUCCUUGUCGGGUAAGUUCCGACCUGCACGAAUGGCGUAACGCUGGCCACACUGUCUCGACCCGAGACUCAGUGAAGUUGAAAUCGCUGUGAAGAUGCGGCGUUCCCGCGGCAAGACGGAAAGACCCCGUGAACCUUCACUACAGCUUUACACUGAACUUUGAACCUUCUUGUGUAGGAUAGGUGGGAGGCUAUGAAGCCUGGGCGCUAGCUCAGGUGGAGCCAACCUUGAAAUACCACCCUGGAAUGUUCGAAGUUCUAACCUAGGCCCGUCAUCCG